UACGUAGGGAGCAAGCGUUGUCCGGAAUCAUUGGGCGUAAAGCGCGCGUAGGUGGCUUCGUAAGUCCGUUGUGAAAGUCAAAGGCUCAACCUUUGAAAGCCGAUGGAUACUGCGGAGCUAGAGUACGGAAGAGGCGAGUGGAAUUCCUGAUGUCGCGGUGGAAUGCGCAGAUAUCAGGAGGAACACCAAUAGCGAAGGCAGCUCGCUGGGACGUUACUGACACUGAGGCGCGAAAGCGUGGGGAGCGAACAGG
rnacentral:rRNA from 1 species